CCUACGGGAGGCAGCAGUAGGGAAUAUUGCUCAAUGGGGGAAACCCUGAAGCAGCAACGCCGCGUGGAGGAUGAAGGUUUUCGGAUUGUAAACUCCUUUUGUUAGAGAAGAUAAUGACGGUAUCUAACGAAUAAGCACCGGCUAACUCCGUGCCAGCAGCCGCGGUAAUACGGAGGGUGCAAGCGUUACUCGGAAUCACUGGGCGGAAAGAGCGCGUAGGCGGGAUAGCAAGUCAGAUGUGAAAUCCUAUGGCUUAACCAUAGAACUGCAUUUGAAACUGUUAUUCUAGAGUAUGGGAGAGGUAGGUGGAAUUCUUGGGGUAGGGGUAAAAUCCGUAGAGAUCAAGAGGAAUACUCAUUGCGAAGGCGACCUGCUAGAACAUAACUGACGCUGAUGCGCGAAAGCGUGGGGAGCAAACAGGAUUAGAUACCCCGGUAGUC
rnacentral:rRNA from 1 species